CGGGGCGGUAGUGUAACUGUAACACCUGCCUGCCGGCAGGCAGGUGCACGAUUCGGGUUCAUGAGACUCCGGGUUCAAAUCCCGGCGCCCCGA
rnacentral:tRNA from 1 species